ensembl:lncRNA
AUAUGGUCUACUUCAGACUCUGACUCUGUUCCACCACAUGCCUUUAAAAAGCAACAUUUCUGUUAAAGGUAUGAUUGGGGAAACUAAAGAGGAAUUAACUCGUGAGAGAAUCUCGAUACCCCCACUCGAUAGUGAUGAGGAAGACCGGUCAUCCUCGAGAAGGUCCAUGAAUCCAUCUUGUGACAACACAAAUGACAAGAAAAAAAAAAAGGCAGCAGUUCAAAGCAUACAAAAAAGGAAGAAUUUAAUGGAUAUCCUAAAAGAAAAGAAAAAAGUUAUCCAGACCAGUUUUGAAUCACAAGAGGAACAUGUCCCCAUGGCUGUGCACAAGGAACUGCAAGACAAAUAUUACAACCUCAAAAAAAGGAUGCGAGAGGAGGAGAUGGCUAAUGAAGAAAAUGGGAAAAAAAUUAAAUGCUUAAAAGAAGAGAAAAGGGACAUGAAGGCUGAACUGCAGCAACUAAGGUGGUUAAACCUAAAUCUCCAAGAGGAGCUUUUCCAAAAAAAAAAAAUAACACAGAAUGAGACCUCUUCUGCAGUCCAUACUCCACUCCCACAACAGCCAUUUCAUGGUCCAGAAAAACUAGCAGAAGAGCAAACAGACAUGAUACCCAAAAUAAAACGAAAAGAACCACAGACCUCUUCUGCAGGCCACACUCAACUCCCACAGCAACCAGUUCUUGGUCCAGAAGAACCAGAAGAGGAGCUAAGACACAGCGAUGGCAAGGAUCUAGGAUACGGAGUCAUGAUACCCACAAAAAUGGGACAUUGUGAGGAGAGUUGAGGGUGACUCAAAAUUCUGUAAGAGCCUGGCUGUUGUUA